CCAAACAGAGAAAAGGUCGAGCUGGAAGAGUUCAACCUGGUCAUUGCUAUCAUCUGUAUAAUGGUCUUAGAGCAAGUCUUCUAGAUGACUAUCAACUGCCAGAAAUUUUGAGAACUCCUUUGGAAGAACUUUGUUUACAAAUAAAGAUUUUAAGGCUAGGUGGAAUUGCUUAUUUUCUGAGUAGAUUAAUGGACCCACCAUCAAAUGAGGCAGUGUUACUCUCCAUAAGACACCUGAUGGAGCUGAACGCUUUGGAUAAACAAGAAGAAUUGACACCUCUUGGAGUCCACUUGGCACGAUUACCCGUUGAGCCACAUAUUGGAAAAAUGAUUCUUUUUGGAGCACUGUUCUGCUGCUUAGACCCAGUACUCACUAUUGCUGCUAGUCUCAGUUUCAAAGAUCCAUUUGUCAUUCCACUGGUAAGAAAAAUGGAAAUAAAACCGAGUUAUUUU
rnacentral:ncRNA from 2 species